rnacentral:tRNA from 1 species
GCUGGCGUAGCUCAAUCGGUAGAGCAACUGAUUUGUAAUCAGUAGGUUGCGGGUUCAAGUCCCAUCGCCAGCUCCA